rnacentral:rRNA from 1 species
GAUGAACGCUAGCGGAAGGCUUAAUACAUGCAAGUCGAGCGGUAGGUGGCUUCGGCCAUUGAGAGCGGCGCACGGGUGAGUAACGCGUACAUGACCUGCCUGUCAGAAGGGGAUAGCCCUGGGAAACUGGGAUUAAUACCCUAUGGUAUUGAUAUUAUGAAUGAUAUCAAUUAAAGUUGAGGCGCUGACAGAUGGAUGUGCGUCUGAUUAGCUAGUUGGUAGGGUAACGGCCUACCAAGGCGACGAUCAGUAGGGGGCGUGAGAGCGUGGUCCCCCACACGGGUACUGAGACACGGACCCGACUCCUACGGGAGGCAGCAGUAAGGAAUAUUGGUCAAUGCCCGCAAGGGUGAACCAGCCAUUCCGCGUGGAGGAUGAAGGCCCUAUGGGUUGUAAACUUCUUUUAGAUGGGAAGAAAUGCUAGAUGUAUCUGGUACUGACGGUACCAUCAGAAUAAGCACCGGCUAACUACGUGCCAGCAGCCGCGGUAAU